ensembl:lncRNA
CUUUCAUCUCGUCACGUCACCUUCCAUCUUCGCUAACGUCAAAAACUUACUGAUACAAAGUACUGACGCUGGAGACUCCUUGCUAUGUUAAAUAACAGCAGGGUCGCAGGGGAACCUGGAGCCUAUCCCAGGAAGCAUCGGGCACGAGGCGGGGUACACCCUGGACAGGGUGCCAAUCCAUUGCAGGGCACAAUCACAUACACACUCACACACCCAUUCAUACACUACAGGCACUUUAGACACACCAAUCAGCCUACCAUGCAUGUCUUUGGACUGGGGGAGGAAACCGGAGUACCCGGAGGAAACCCCCGCAGCACGGGGAGAACAUGCAAACUCUACACACACAGGGCCACAGUGGGAAUCGAACCCCCGACCCUGGAGGUGUGAGGGGAACGUGCUAACCACUAAUCCACC